ACUUAAUUACACUUCCCACUAUUUUUGUUUACGAAAUUACAAUUAUCUCUCUUAUGGAGGCAAUCAAUAUAAUACAUAUAUAUAUAUACAUAUAUAAUUGGGGUGAUUUAUGUAGGUUUUAAAAAUGUGUGAAUAAUUCAUAUAAUUUCACUAAAACUUUAAGGUGUCAGUGUAAUUUACUCAAAUUUAAAAGAAUGAAAGUGAUUUAAUUCCAUUAUCCCAUCUCCUUAGUUUAUGUUGGGUUUUACAGAUGCUUUGAUAUCCUCUUUUACUGGUUGUAACUUUUCUCUCCUUAUAAAGACUAAAUAAUUUCCAUUGAGCUAUCGUUUGGUUGUUUAUUUAUCUAGACACAAGAAUUAUAUAGGUGAACUUUACUAGAAAAGAAAAGAGUUUAUUGUUACUUCAGAAUUAAUUUGAGAUGAAACGUGUUACGAAAUCUGGUUAUCUAAUGGUUAUAUCAUAGAUUCGUAUUAGCUAUAGUACAUGUGACACGUGUGGUAUAAGAUAUAGUCCAAUGUCAUCCCACUUUAGAUAUUAAUAGAAUGUGUGAUGAUAAUAUAAAAGUAUAGAAAUCUAAUAUAUAACAUGUCAUUACCUAACAUGUAUGUGAAUGUCCUUGUUGGGCUGUCUACAAGGCCACAUAGGAUUAUCAAUAAACCUCUUAAACUCAAAGAUUAUAUCUUGGAUAAUUAGAUUAGAUUUAAUAAGUUUAUAUCUCGGAUAAUUAGAUUAGAUUUAAUAAGUUGUUAGGAUUAUAAUUUUCAUAUCCGUAAUAUAUCUUUCUUAAAUAAGGAUGCUCAAGAGUAUCUGGCCCAUAGACUCAAUUUCUCUAUUUAAGUGAUGAUCAUCCACAUUAUGAGGAUAUAAAAAAACAAGUACUUUCUUUUACAAUUCUGAGUUUUUCUUUAGAUUCUUAAAUUUUUAUUAUUCUCCUAGGGUUAUAACCCUAACAUUGAUGCUUUCAUUGUUGUCUUCAUGCCUCCCAAAUCAAAUUCAACUUCUUCUUCCUCCCAUUCCAAUAUGGAGGAAACAUCUAACAGUGCGGUCCUUGCACAACUAGCAUCUCUGGAACAACACCUUUCGGACAGACAAGAGAUGAUGCAAGCUUCUAUGGAGGCUCGCUUGGAAAACAUGCUGACCGGACUGGUGGAGAAACUGGCAAACCUAGGCACUACAAACACACACUCUCCACAACAACUACCAAUUCAUGGAUCUCAACCCAGACCCCAACACCCAUGUACGUGCCAGGAUAUUUCCCACCACCAAGUAUGAUUAAACCACCCAAAUUACAUGUCCAACAAUUUGAUGGUUCAAAUCCUCAAGAUUGGGUAUUUCAAGCUGAACAAUAUUUCAAUCUUUAUCAAGUGGCACAUAUCCAACUAGUGGAAUUGGUUGCUUUUUCUAUGAAAGGAGAUGCUUUAAGUUGGUAUAAAUGGAUGUUUAAUACCAAUCAACUUACUAGCUGGGAAGCAUUCACAAAGGCCUUGCUCAUUCGCUUUGGGCCAUCUACGUUUGCUAACCCCCAAGCGGAAUUGUUUAAACUAUGACAAACAACUACCGUUACAGAGUACCAAACCCGAUUUGAACGUCUUUCAAAUCAGGUGGUUGGACUACCACCAGAGAUGGUAUUGAAUUGUUUCUUAUCCGGGUUAAACCCUGAAAUUGCAAGGGAGUUAGCACUACAACAAUCGUUUUCAGUUACUCAUGCAAUUGGAAUGACAAAAUUGGUUGAAAGCAAAAUUAAUGCUGCUAAGACAAACCUGUGGCGCUCAACACGUGCAACUGUAUCAGUUGCAAACAAUCAGAACGUCGCUACGAUGACUCAACCACCACCAAAUCAAACUCAUGCAUCACUACCAAUUAAACGCCUUACUGCAGCACAAAUGCAAACGAGGAGAGCUCAAGGACUAUGCGACAAUUGUUAUGAAAAAUAUAUUACAGGACAUCGUUGCAAACCUCAACAAUUCCUAUUACUCUUAAUUGAAGAUCCUACUGAUAAUUAUCACAACUUGGAACCUUUAGACAACAUUUCCAACCUCAGUUACGAACAAGAAGUCCCCGCCGAUAACAAGGUGAUUCACUUCCACCUCUCUGACCAAGCUUUCUAAGGCAAUCCAUCGCCCAAAACUCUAAAACUUCAGGAAACUAUUUUGGGUCACAAGGUAACAGUUUUAGUGGAUACAGGAAGUUCACAUAAUGUUAUGCAACCACGUGUCGCACAAUUUCUACAACUUCCUAUAUCACCCACACCAAAAUUCCCUGUAAUGGUGGGGAAUGGUGAACGCACCUACUGUACAGGCUUGUGCAAAGAGACGCCAAUCAACUUGCAACAACAACUAUUUACUAUUCCAUUUUAUUUAUUACCUAUUCAAAGAGCAGAUGUAGUAUUGGGAAUAGAAUGGUUAAGCACAUUGGGGCCAGUAACUUCAGAUUUUUCAGUUCCAUCCAUGACGUUCACUCAUGAUCACAAGCCUAUCACACUCACUGGUCAACAUUCACACACUCCAACUCUAGCAUCUUUUCAUCAACUCCGCCGCUUGUCCAACAUGGACGCUAUUGCAUAUAUUUUCUACAUUACUAUUUACCCACAAGCCACAAUGCACACCUUAGCCGUCCCAGAACCAGACACCAAUAACCCUAUUACAGACCUUCACCCAGACAUACAAACCCUCUUACAAGACUUUGACAAUGUAUUUACCAACCCAACAGGCCUACCACCACCUAGACCUCAUGAUUACAAAAUUAUCCUUUUACCCAACCAACCCCCAGCCAAUGUUAAACCAUAUCGUUACCCACACUCACAAAAAGAAGCCAUGGCAACCUUACUAGUUGACAUGUUACAACAAGGCAUAGUGACUCUAAGCACAAGCCCAUUUUCGUCCCCAGUGUUGUUGGUUAGAAAAAAAGAUGGGUCCUGUCAAUUUUGUGUCGAUUAUCGAAACCUAAAUGCAAUUACAUUCAAAAAUAGAUUUCCAAUCCCAACAAUCGAUGAGCUUUUAGAUGAAUUAGCAGGUGCAAGUAUAUUUUCAAAAAUCGACUUACAAUUAGGGUAUCAUCAGAUCCGUCUUGACCCAGCAGAUACCCAUAAAACAGCUUUCAGAACUGCAGAUGGACAUUAUGAAUUUUUGGUGAUGCCGUUCAGGCUCACAAAUGGGCCCUCGACAUUUCAAUCCGCCAUGAAUGACUUACUAAGACCGUUCAUUCGAAAAUUUGUUCUGGUUUUUUUGAUGACAUACUAGUCUAUAGCCCAUGUUUUAGUGAACACAUAAAGCAUUUAUAGGUGAUCUUACGUUUAUUAUCUCAGUCCCAGUUCUUUGCAAAAAAAUCAAAGUGUUCUUUUGGGGUUUCUUGUGUGGAUUAUUUGGGCCACGUGUUAUCUGGUCAGGGCGAACAACCCGAUCCAGAAAAGAUAAAGGCCAUAGACUGACCCACACCUCGGUCAAUCACGACCCUGCGAGGAUUUUUGGGCCUAAUUGGGUUCUAUCGGUGUUUCAUUAAACAAUAUGCCACACACGCCGCUCACCUGACUGAUCUACUAAGAACAUGAAGUUUUACAUGGUCUACAAAUGCCGAGUCGACUUUUACACAAAUGAAAAAAAUAAUGUCCUCGGCACCAGUGCUGACUCUCCCCGAAUUCUCCAAGACUUUUGAUGUGGAAACAGAUGCAUCAGCCAUCGCUAUAGGUUCAGUACUAUCCCAAGACGGACACCCAAUCGCAUUCUUUAGCAAAAAAAUGUCACCACGGAUGCAAGCAACAUCUACAUAUGUCAGAGAAAUGUAUGUAGUCAUAGAGUCAGUAAAAAAAUGGAGACAAUAUCUAAUUGGACAUUACUUCCACAUUUUUACAGACCAACAGAGUCUAAAACAUCUAAUGACCCAAACAUUCCAAACUACUGAACAACAAAAAUGGGCAACAAAACUACAAGGAUUUGAGUAUGAAAUUUUCUACAGACCCGGGAAGGAGAACAGGGCCGCCGAUGCAUUGUCCAGGUGUUUCUUCGACGAUGAUAAGUUGUUAGCCAUCAUAUCUUCACCGAUACCACAGUUGUUGCAACAACUCACCACCUUCUAUACCUUAGAGGAAGGCAAAUCGUUAACAAAUGAGGUAUUAAACUCAAACAAACACAACAAUUCAUUCCAUUUUGAUAAUUUUUUACUCUACUAUAAAGACAGGCUAUUCAUACCUGACAUUGACGACUUACGAGCUAUCCUCAUCAAAGAGUUUCACUCUACACCAGCAGCGGGCCACUCCGGGUUGAAACCUACCAUAGCAUGUCUUGCAACCUCUUUCCAUUGGCCCGGAAUGUACAAAGAAACCGAUAUGUCUAGGCACUUCCUAGUAUGUCAACAAGUUUGGGAAGAUAUUUCCAUGGACUUUAUUACACACUUACCUUCAUCGGGUGGCCAUACGAUUAUCUGGGUAAUAAUGGACCGCUUAACCAAGUUUGCUCAUUUCAUAGCCAUGCCAACGCACUUCACGGCAUUCCAGCUGGCAUCCAGGUUCACCGUAGACAUUUAUAGGUUGCAUGGAGCACCUCGUUCCAUUGUAUCUGACCGAGACCCCGUGUUUAUGAGCAAUAUUUGGAAGGAGUUCUUCAAACUACAAGGAACAAAACUUUGUUUUAGUUCAGCAUACCACCUAGAAUCCGAUGGCGAAACAGAGGUAGUAAAUAGAUGUGUAGAGGGAUACUUACGUUGUUUCACAGCAGAAUAACAAACAAAAUGUUUCCACUAUCUACACUUGGCAGAGUUCUGGUACAACACCAACAAACACUCAGCAACAGGAAUGACCCCAUUUUUUGCCUUGUAUGGCCGACAACCACCAACGAUCCGAGACUACAACUCCGGAACAUCCACAAACAAAUCCUUGAACGAACUCCUACAAGAACGGAAACAAUUAUUAAUGUCAUUAAAGUCAAACCUUUUUAGAGCAAAACAACGAAUGAAUAGCUAUGUGGAUAAGCAUCGAAAAGAACGUACCUUUGAAGUAGGAGCAUGAGUUUGGUUAAAACUACAAGCCUAUCGCCAAACCACAAUGGCACGUAGAGGGUCUCACAAAUUGUCCGGACGAUAUUUUGGACCAUUUCAGGUGAUACGAUGUACUGGAAGUGUCGCCUACGAAUUAGACUUACCAACAGAUUCACAAAUACAUAAUGUUUUUCACGUAUCUUUAUUAAAACCUUUUAUUGGCACAAUACAACCAGGAACCAGUGUUGAAAAUCUAUCUACAAAAACUGGGAAUAAAGUGGCUACAUCAACUAAAGAGAACCAAACAGAAAACAUAAGGGGGAGAAAAAUAUUACAAGCACCCGCGAAACCCCCUUGAUUUCCCAGAAAAUGCAUUCUAAAGCACUAAGGAUACAAGAAUAAGAGGAAGAGCCACUCUCUAUGCAGACACCACCG
rnacentral:lncRNA from 1 species